UACGAAGGGGGCUAGCGUUGCUCGGAAUCACUGGGCGUAAAGCGCACGUAGGCGGCUUCUUAAGUCAGGGGUGAAAUCCUGGAGCUCAACUCCAGAAUUGCCUUUGAGACUGCAUCGCUUGAACACGGGAGAGGUGAGUGGAAUUCCGAGUGUAGAGGUGAAAUUCGUAGAUAUUCGGAAGAACACCAGUGGCGAAGGCGGCUCACUGGACCGUUGUUGACGCUGAGGUGCGAAAGCGUGGGGAGCAAACAGG
rnacentral:rRNA from 1 species